UUUUGAGAAACUUGAUUGGAUUGCUGCAGAGUUGGUUUUAGAGCAUCAGAGGAGGAGUUGCAGAAUAGCUCCUACUGUUGCUUUCAAGCAAGUCUUACCUUCAAACCCAUAGAAAAAAGAAAAAAAAAAAACUCAAGAGAUAGAAGAAAAGGUAAAAACAUAAGCCUUUAUUCAAAUUUCUCUGUAAAUUAUAUAUCUUGUGAAUCUUAUGGCUUAAUUUCCUUUUCGCUCUCUAAAUAUAAUUGGAAUGUCGGUCAGAUCCCAAUUUAUUGCAUUAUGCUCUUGACCUAAAUUACAAGGAAACUUCCCACAAUCCUAAGUGUAGCUUUAGCUUUAGGAGACAAGAGGGAUUUAAGUCAUAUUUUCUAUUUGAGUUUCACUUUUAAUUAUGGACUUAUCAAGGGUAUCUUCAAGCUAAUACAAACUUCUACAUAUCUUAUUGUCCACUUUAGAUAUAAAUCCUUUCAAAAUAAAAUAUUGUCCUCAAUUAUAUACCACCAUAAAUCUAACCAAAAUUUGAACAUCCAUAGCAUCCAAACAAAAACUUGUAUUAGACUUAUCUUUUCCUGUCCUAUAUUGUGGCAUGUAGCAUAGGGGGAGAGGGAGGAGCUUUGUUUAUUGAGUACAUUUUUUGAAAAGGAGUUCUUUUCUUCUUCUUUUUUUUUUUUAAUUAUUAACAAUAGAAAAAGAAGGAGAUUAGAAAAGAAUUUGUAUGCAUGUUGAGAGUAUGACAAAGCUUUCGGUUUGAUUUGUUGUGUUGUGAAAAGAAAUAAAGAAUAAUAAGGGAAUGAAUUAUGGAGGCAAAGUCAGUCAUAAGCAUAUUAUAUAAGAUUGUCAAUUUGUAGGUUUGUCUGGGGUCUCCUAAUCCUUGUCGUGGCUUAGAAAAAAAAAGAGUCUAAAAGCUAAUGAAUGAUUUGUUUGUUUUAACCAUUAGAAAAAAUAGGUGAGUUAGGGGAAGAAAGGGUACCUGUUGUUAUGCCACCGACACUUGGUAAAGCUAAGAGAAUAGAAGGAUAUUCUGGUCAAUGUUUCCACAUUCAAUACCCAAAACUGUCAUUCUGUAACUGCCGGAAAUGAAUCAAUUCAUGUACUUCUCUCUGAAAUCUGAUUAUGCAGUAGCUGUUUUAUUAGGUUUGACCACUAGUAAUAAGGUUGUGGAAGCAAAACCAAGCAUAGCUAAGUGACAUACAAAUGUCUUGAUGACUCCUCCCGGUUGUAUAGUGGAAAAUUUUCCAUUUUGUAAUAGAAUUUGCAUGUUAGACUCCUCUAGUAUUUGUUCUCUUUUUCAAUUUUAGAAGAUUCAACUACUCCUUUCUUGUGAACAGUUUAAUGUAUUGAUUUCUUAGAAUAUGUAGAACUAAAUAGGUUUAGGUAAAACCCAGAAGUGGAGUUGUGGAGUUGUGGAGUUGGGGAAGAGUCAAGGUAAAAGUGUUUUUUUAGUGGUGAAGAAAAUAAAAACCUGCAAAGAAUAGGAACAUUAUCUUGGUAGAAUACUGGAAUGGCCUUUUUGACAGACAGUAAAGCAGUAGAAAAAAACAAGGGAAGUGAGUCAGUCAGAAGGGAAACCCUACAAAGGAACAUUUUUUUUUUCAAAAGCAUAGCAACAACAACCAACAAAGCUACUAAUUUUGGUCAGGUUUUUGGGAGAAGUAAAAGCUUAGGCAAUUGUUGCCCCAUUCAAGCACGCCUAUAUACCCACUCUAUCUUUCUCUUUCACCCUCCCUUCAUACCUUCUCCUUUUAGCAACCUUUAUUUAAAAAUUAAAUAAACAAUUUGUCUUGUUUUUUCUCCCUUAUCUUAUCCUCUGGAUUAAAUAUGCUUUCUUCUCUUUUAUUUCAAUUUAUUAUUUAAUUCUCUACAUUUAAUACUUAAAAGCAUAUAGGGUUGAUUGUUGAGUACACGUCUGACUUCUAUAUUUCUUAGUGCAACAAAUAAAGAUAAAAGGAUUUGUACCUGUACAUACUACUCUAGAACUUAUUAAAGUUAAUGAUGUAUUUUCUUAGUACAACAACUACGGAGUAGGGAAUUAAAUCUCCAACUCCUAAGUACGUAUACCUUUCCAAUACAUCACUGAGUCAUAUAUGUAAUCUUGUUAUUAAGAAGUUAUCAUGUUGCUAAUGGAGGUGAUUGUUUGUCUGCAGGGAAAAUUACUACCUCUUAUAUAUAGAGAGAGAGAGAGGGAGAAAAAAAAAGAAGAGAAGAAGGUUUGAUUAUUAAUAUUAAUCUGAAUAUGUAUUUGUAUUUGUAUGUAGAGAUGGUAAAAGAGAGGGGUGGGGGUGGGGAGUUUGAAGGAAAAGGACAAAACAAAAUGGUCUGAAAAAGAGUGAAAAAUCUUAGUGGGAUACUUUGCCUGCUUAACCCAAGGCAUUGUGGUGUCCACUCCUUCGUUUCACAAUGCACCAAACCCUUCUAAAACAAACACACAUUCACAUCUCAACUACUCAACCCUUUUGCAAGUCAAACCAAAAUAUUUCAGGUCUCUCAAAUUCAUUCUCUUAUUUUAAUUUCAAGUCCCCCAAAUUUCCCUGUCUGUCCUGUCUUCUUCUUCAAAAGAAACCCAGAAAAAUGGUACCCAAAUUUGCUUUGCUUUUACAUUUUUCCUUUUCAAUCUCUUUCACUAUUAUAUUUAUUUCAGUGACCGACAGUUUCCUGAAGAUGGUGUGUUUGGAUUAAUAAACUUUAUAAAUAUAUGACUUAUGGGACUGCAGGGGACCCCAUUCCUUAAUGAGACACAAACUUAAUUGUUUUUCUUUUUCUCCUUUUGAACUUCAUGUUCUUCGGCAAAACCAUCUCUCUCUCUUCUAUAUUUCUUUUUUUUUUUCCCUUUCUAAAAGUGUAUAUGUUUGUAAUUAGUUAAAUGGUUCCCAGAGAAUUGGUGUCAUGGUUUCACUGGACAGUAUUGAACACCAUUGAUAUCAGACAGUGUUUAUUUAAGAGAAUUCAUCAUUAUGUUAAUUCAAUUGUUGUGUUGAAUGGCUUACUUGAUUGAUGUGUUGGACACAAAAUAUUUGUUGUUAUUAUUUGUGCAUAAAGUGAGGUGUGAGAAAUGAAUUGAUAAUGUAAUCAACGCGUU
rnacentral:lncRNA from 1 species